rnacentral:rRNA from 1 species
GACAGAGGAUGCAAGCGUUAUCCGGAAUGAUUGGGCGUAAAGCGUCUCUAGGUGGCUUUUUAAGUCUGCCGUCAAAUCCCAGGGCUUAACCCUGGACAGGCGGUGGAAACUACCAAGCUGGAGUACGGUAGGGGCAGGGGGAAUUUCCGGUGGAGCGGUGAAAUGCGUAGAGAUCGGAAAGAACACCAACGGCGAAAGCACUCUGCUGGGCCGACACUGACACUGAGAGACGAAAGCUAGGGGAGCGAAUGGG